rnacentral:rRNA from 1 species
UGGGGAAUUUUGGACAAUGGGCGAAAGCCUGAUCCAGCAAUGCCGCGUGUGUGAAGAAGGCCUUCGGGUUGUAAAGCACUUUUGUCCGGAAAGAAAUCCUUGGCUCUAAUACAGUCGGGGGAUGACGGUACCGGAAGAAUAAGCACCGGCUAACUACGUGCCAGCAGCCGCGGUAAUAUGUAGGGUGCAAGCGUUAAUCGGAAUUACUGGGCGUAAAGCGUGCGCAGGCGGUUUGCUAAGACCGAUGUGAAAUCCCCGGGCUCAACCUGGGAACUGCAUUGGUGACUGGCAGGCUAGAGUAUGGCAGAGGGGGGUAGAAUUCCACGUGUAGCAGUGAAAAUGCGUAGAGAUGUGGAGGAAUACCGAUGGCGAAGGCAGCCCCCUGGGCCAAAUACUGACGCUCAUGCACGAAAGCGUGGGGAGCAAAACAGGAUUAGAUACCCUGGUAGUCCACGCCCUAAAACGAUGUCAACUAGUUGUUGGGGAUUCAUUUCCUUAGUAACGUAGCUAACGCGUGAAGUUGACCGCCUGGGGAGUACGGUCGCAAGAUUAAAACUUAAAUGAAUUGACGGGGUCAUAGCUGUUUCCU